AACGAACGCUGGCGGCAUGCCUAACACAUGCAAGUCGAACGAGAUCUUCGGGUCUAGUGGCGCACGGGUGCGUAACGCGUGGGAAUCUGCCCUUUGGUUCGGAAUAACAGUUGGAAACGACUGCUAAUACCGGAUGAUGACGAAAGUCCAAAGAUUUAUCGCCAGAGGAUGAGCCCGCGUAGGAUUAGCUAGUUGGUGUGGUAAAGGCGCACCAAGGCGACGAUCCUUAGCUGGUCUGAGAGGAUGAUCAGCCACACUGGGACUGAGACACGGCCCAAACUCCUACGGGAGGCAGCAGUGGGGAAUAUUGGACAAUGGGCGAAAGCCUGAUCCAGCAAUGCCGCGUGAGUGAUGAAGGCCUUAGGGUUGUAAAGCUCUUUUACCCGGGAUGAUAAUGACAGUACCGGGAGAAUGAGCUCCGGCUAACUCCGUGCCAGCAGCCGCAGUAA
rnacentral:rRNA from 1 species